CCUACGGGAGGCUGCAGUGGGGAAUAUUGCACAAUGGGGGAAACCCUGAUGCAGCGACGCCGCGUGAGUGAGGAAGUAUUUCGGUAUGUAAAGCUCUAUCAGCAGGGAAGAAAAUGACGGUACCUGACUAAGAAGCCCCGGCUAACUACGUGCCAGCAGCCGCGGUAAUACGUAGGGGGCAAGCGUUAUCCGGAUUUACUGGGUGUAAAGGUAGCGUAGACGGCUAAUCAAGUCAGAAGUGAAAACCCAGGGCUCAACCUUGGGACUGCUUUUGAAACUGAGUAGCUAGAGUGCCGGAGAGGUAAGCGGAAUUCCUAGUGUAGCGGUGAAAUGCGUAGAUAUACGGAGGAACACCAGUGGCGAAGGCGGAUUGCUGGACAGUAACUGACGCUGAGGCGCGAAAGCGUGGGGAGCAAACAGGAUUAGAUACCCCAGUAGUC
rnacentral:rRNA from 1 species